CCUACGGGAGGCAGCAGUGGGGAAUAUUGCACAAUGGGCGCAAGCCUGAUGCAGCGACGCCGCGUGAGCGAUGAAGGCCUUCGGGUCGUAAAGCCCUGUCCUAAGGGAAGAAUAAUGACGGUACCUUAGGAGGAAGCCCCGGCUAACUACGUGCCAGCAGCCUCGGUAAUACGUAGGGGGCGAGCGUUAUCCGGAAUCACUGGGCGUAAAGGGUGCGUAGGCGGCCAUGCAAGUCAGGAGUUAAAUCCCUCGGCUCAACCGAGGUCAGCACUUGAAACUGUAGGGCUUGAGUGGAGGAGAGGAGAGCGGAAUUCCUAGUGUCGCGGUGAAAUGCGUAGAUAUGAGGACGAACACCAGUGGCGAAGGCGGCUCGCUGGACUGCAAAUGACGCUGAGGCACAAAAGCGUGGGGAGCGAACAGGAUUAGAUACCCGAGUAGGC
rnacentral:rRNA from 1 species